rnacentral:rRNA from 1 species
UGAGGAAUAUUGGUCAAUGGACGGAAGUCUGAACCAGCCAAGUAGCGUGCAGGACGACGGCCCUAUGGGUUGUAAACUGCUUUUAUGUGGGAAUAAAGUCAGGGACGUGUCCCUGUUUGCAUGUACCACAGGAAUAAGGACCGGCAAAUUCCGUGCCAGCAGCCGCGGUAAUACGGAAGGUCCGGGCGUUAUCCGGAUUUAUUGGGUUUAAAGGGAGCGUAGGCCGGAGGGUAAGCGUGUUGUGAAAUGCAGUUGCUCAACAUCUGCACUGCAGCGCGAACUGUUCUCCUUGAGUACCGGAAGGGCAGAUGGAAUUCCUGGUGUAGCGGUGAAAUGCGUAGAG